GGGCAACGCCGCCGUCGGCGUCCGCGGCACUGACACUAUUGUCCUCGGCGUCGAGAAGAAAUCCGCCCCAAAACUCCAAGAUUCUAGAUCUGUGCGGAAAAUCGUCAAUCUGGACACGCAUAUUGCUCUCGCCUGCGCAGGGCUUAAGGCCGACGCCCGCGUGCUGAUCAACAAAGCGCGGAUCGAGUGCCAGAGCCACCGGCUCACUGUCGAGGAUCCGGUGACCGUCGAGUAUAUCACUCGAUUCAUCGCUGGACUGCAGCAGAAGUAUACACAGAGCGGUGGGGUUCGGCCGUUUGGGCUAUCGACACUCAUCAUCGGGUUCGAUCCCUACAGCGGGACUCCGGCACUUUACCAGACCGAUCCGUCGGGUACGUUCUCGGCGUGGAAGGCCAAUGCCACGGGGAGGAACUCGAAUUCGAUGAGGGAGUUUCUUGAGAAGAAUUACAAGGAGACUUCCGGACAGGACACUGUGAAGCUUGCGAUUCGUGCUCUUCUUGAGGUGGUUGAGAGUGGUGGGAAGAACAUUGAAAUUGCAGUUAUGACAAAAGAGGGCCUUAGGGAGCUUGAUGAAGCUGAGAUCGACGCAAUAGUUGCAGACAUAGAGGCUGAGAAAGCUGCGGCUGAGGCAGCAAAGAAGCCCGCCCCCAGAGAUGGUUGAUUCCUGAUGUUGCUAUCUGUUAUUUGGAGAGUUUCUG
rnacentral:misc_RNA from 1 species